GUCACGCUGUAAACGAUGUCGAUUUGGAGUUUGGGGGCAUGACCCUUGGGCUCCGGAGCUAACGCGUUAAAUCGACCGCUGGGGAGUACGGCCGCAAGGUUAAAACUCAAAUGAAUUGACGGGGGCCCGCACAGCGGUGGAGCAUGUGGUUUAAUUCGAUGCAACGCGAAGGACCUUACCUGGUCUUGACAUCCAUAGAAUCUUUCAGAGAUGAGAGAGUGCCUUCGGGAGCUAUGAGACAGGUGCUGCAUGGCUGUCGUCAGCUCGUGUUGUGAAAUGUUGGGUUAAGUCCCGCAACGAGCGUAACCCCUAUCCUUUGUUGCCAGCACGUAAUGGUGGGAACUCAAAGGAGACUGCCGUUGAUAAAGCGGAGGAAGGUGGGGACGACGUCAAGUCAUCAUGGCCCUUACGACCAGGGCUACACACGUGCUACAAUGGCGUAUACAAAGGGAUGCGAAGGUGCGAACUGGAGCGGACCUCACAAAGUACGUCUAAGUCCGGAUUGGAGUCUGCAACUCGACUCCAUGAAGUCGGAAUCGCUAGUAAUCGUGAAUCAGAAUGUCACGGUGAAUACGUUCCCGGGCCUUGUACACACCGCCCGUCACACCAUGGGAGUGGGUUGCACCAGAAGUAGAUAGCUUAACCUUCGGGAGGGCGUUUACCACGGUGUGGUUCAUGACUGGGGUGAAGUCGUAACAAGGUAACCA
rnacentral:rRNA from 1 species